rnacentral:rRNA from 1 species
UACGUAGGGGGCAAGCGUUGUCCGGAUUUAUUGGGCGUAAAGAGCGUGUAGGCGGCUUGGUAGGUCCGCUGUGAAAACUCGAGGCUCAACCUCGAGAUGUCGGCGGAAACCACUUGGCUAGAGUCCGGAAGAGGCGAGUGGAAUUCCUGGUGUAGCGGUGAAAUGCGCAGAUAUCAGGAGGAACACCUAUGGCGAAGGCAGCUCGCUGGGACGGUACUGACGCUGAGACGCGAAAGCGUGGGGAGCGAACAGG